AAUAGCAGAUAAGCUUUUGGAUGAGGCUGUUAAAUUACAAUAUGAAAUAAUUGUUCUGCCGGCAAGUUAAUAUAGCCAUUGAACAUCGAAUUCUUCAUCAUGUGUACAUAUGGGAAGAAGACAACAACAUACACUGCUAUGUGCAGCAAGCUUUCUAAUCAAAGUGAAUGUGAGAAUAGGGUGGUGGUUGAUGGAAACCCGAUCACAAGCAGAGGGACAAGGACUUCCAUGGAAUUUGCGCUGGCCAUAGUAGAUAAGUUCUUUGACGAUGCCCUCAAUCUUGCAAGAAGCCUGGUUUUUGUAUAAUAAGCUAAUAAUAGCUCUGUGGUAGAGAGCUGGGCAUAUGAAUGUAAUCAGCACUUUCUGAAUAAACUAAGUUGCAUUCAAAUGCAGAGGUGUAGAAGCAAAAACAAACAUUCAUGUUA